rnacentral:rRNA from 1 species
GACGAACGCUGGCGGCGUGCUUAACACAUGCAAGUCGAACGAAGUGGCGAACGGGUGAGUAACGCGUAAUCAACCUGCCCUUCCGAGGGGGACAACAGUUGGAAACGACUGCUAAUACCGCAUACUGAAGGAGGGGAUUGCGUCUGAUUAGCUAGUUGGGGGGGUAACGGCCCACCAAGGCGAUGAUAAGUAGCCGGUCUGAGAGGAUGAACGGCCACAUUUGGACGGAGACACUGCCCAUACUCCUACGUGAGUCAGCAGUUGGGAAUCUUCCGCAAUGGACGAAAGUCUGACGGAGCAACGCCGCGUGAGUGAUGACGGCCUUCGGGUUGUAAAGCUCUGUUAAUCGGGACGCGGUACCGGAAUAGAAAGCCACGGCUAACUACGUGCCAGCCGCCGCGGUAAUUC